rnacentral:rRNA from 1 species
CCCUUAGAUGUUCUGGGCCGCACGCGCGCUACACUGAUGCAUUCAACGAGUUUCUUCCUGGUCCGCGAGGAAUGGGUAACCUUUUGAAAGUGCAUCGUGAUAGGGAUAGACUAUUGCAAUUAUUGGUCUUCAACGAGGAAUUCCUAGUAGACGUAGUUCAUCAGACUGCAUCGAUUACGUCCCUGCCCUUUGUACACACCGCCCGUCGCUCCUACCGAUUGAAUGCUCAGGUGAGCCAUUCGGACUUUCAUCAUGCUGGUUUCCAGUUUUGAUGAAGGAAAGUCUUGCGAACCUUAUCAUUUAGAGGAAGGAGAAGUCGUAACA